GACUCUGGAUUGAGUGCGCAGGCUGUUCUGGAUCGAGGUUAUGACACUUUUGUCACAAUGACUGGAGUAUUUCCAUGGAGGAAUUGCUCUGCCCUGCACUGUCAAUAGCCUUGGGUUCUUUGGUGAACACCACUGUAGGGUCAAGAAAUACAGUAUUCAGUGCUGCUUUGCAGAACCAACUGUCCUGACCAUAGAAAACCUUCUUCAAACUGCUCAUGCCAUCAGUGGGCUAACAGGGAGUCAAUGUGCUGUUCUGGUUUCAGCCAUCUGGCCGCACCAGAAAGAGGUAGCUUUCGAAGAAUCCCCCAAUUCCUCAUCCUGAAAGCUUCAGGAUAGCCAACAGCCAACAAGUCUGGGUACAAGCUUGGUAUCUACUUUGCUCACACCCGACCUCCUGAACGUCAGAGUAUCAAGAGCCAGACCUUUGUUUCCUGGCCAUCUCCAGCUGUUAUUGCACCUCCUGGCACAGGAAACAGAGCCAUUGAGCACAACGCAUCUUCGGGAUGACAAUCACAUCACAUGGAUCCGAGGGCCCGGAAUGAGCAGGAUGACAUGUUGUUGUGGUCACCCCAUUCCUUAAGGCUGUGUGGAGUUUGCUGGCAGGCAGGCUGGGAACGAUGCUCUUCAGACACUCAGUGUGAUCUUUACUCAACCAGGUAACUUUUAAGCAUUUAGUUUUUCUGUAACAGUCAAAGCAGUGCAUGAGCAGUGAGGAAAAAAUGUCAUUUUC